UACGUAGGGUGCGAGCGUUAAUCGGAAUUACUGGGCGUAAAGCGUGCGCAGGCGGCUAUUUAAGCUUGCUGUGAAAGCCCCGGGCUUAACCUGGGAACUGCAGUGAGGACUGGAUGGCUGGAGUGUGGCAGAGGGGGGUGGAAUUCCACGUGUAGCAGUGAAAUGCGUAGAGAUGUGGAGGAACACCGAUGGCGAAGGCAGCCCCGUGGGCUAACACUGACGCUCAGGCACGAAAGCGUGGGGAGCAAACAGG
rnacentral:rRNA from 1 species